GACGAACGCUGGCGGCGUGCUUAACACAUGCAAGUCGAACGGUAGGGCCCUUCGGGGUACCCGAGUGGCGAACGGGUGAGUAACACGUGGGUAAUCUGCCCUGCACAUCGGGAUAAGCCUGGGAAACUGGGUCUAAUACCGAAUAGGACCACAGGACACAUGUCCUGUGGUGGAAAGCUUUUGCGGUGUGGGAUGGGCCCGCGGCCUAUCAGCUUGUUGGUGGGGUGAUGGCCUACCAAGGCGACGACGGGUAGCCGGCCUGAGAGGGUGUCCGGCCACACUGGGACUGAGAUACGGCCCAGACUCCUACGGGAGGCAGCAGUGGGGAAUAUUGCACAAUGGGCGAAAGCCUGAUGCAGCGACGCCGCGUGGGGGAUGACGGCCGUCGGGUUGUAAACCUCUUUCACCAUCGACGAAGGUCCGGGUUUUCUCGGGCUGACGGUAGGUGGAGAAGAAGCACCGGCCAACUACGUG
rnacentral:rRNA from 1 species